AACCGCUGACAAAUAAGACUGAGCAUGCAUUCACGCGGGAGUAGUAGGAAAGAUGAAGGAUGUUGCUGAAGGCGCGGGAGAUUUUAAAAACCACCUAGGUCGCUACACUGUAGCUGCUGUCGUCUACUGCAAGGUUUGUUUGACUUGACACUUGACAUGAACGCUUUGCAACGCUCGUUUUGGGGAAAGCAACGUGUGGUGUAUUUCAAUAAGCACUUUCAAUAUGCUUGAUGAUAAGUCCACAAAGCAACUGCUUAAAAAUAACGAGCUGAUGGAAAAGGUGGGACUGUAUGUUGAAAGACCGUUUCCUGACUUUCCAAAAUAUUAUAGUAAUAAUGAACUACAUGGCUGUAGAGAGUUGGUCUGUUAAUGCUGGUUAAUGACAUUCUAAUACU